AAUAACUCUGGAUAAUAAUUUUUUAUCGCGUGGAUAUUCACAUUUCUGUUAAUUUUCCCUAGACAUUAAUUAGUUUGAUCAACUAGGGAGAACAAUUUUAGACAUAGGCUCAGGAAAAGAUAGGCUCUAGAAUGGAGAGAAACUCACCAAGAAAACCAUAUUAAUCCUUGUUAUAAAAUUUGUUUAAAGGGUCAAAGUAGUACUCCUUGUCAUCCUAAAUCCUGGUGGUUCACCAGGUAUUAUUUAAUGGCGGCUUUUACGUUUCUGCCCAAAAAAAAAGAAGUACCACUUUAUGGAGGCUGCGCUUAACUAUAAAAAAAAAGAGGCUAAAUUGCUAAAGGAUCUUUCGGAAAAUAUUUUCUACAAAAAUGACUUUCGUCAUAUUCCACAUACACAGGUGACUGGGACCAAGGUGGCUCUUGCCAGCGGUCACAGCCUCUCUGACCUCAAGAGGUGGAGAAACUCUUUUCCCUUCAAAACAACGGAACAAAUGUGGAGGUUCGCCUUGUGAACCAGCAUCUGUACAGGGCCUUUGAAGGCACUAGAUUUCAUAUGCUAGACAUAUCUCAUAUGAGUGAGUUUAGAGCCGAUGCCCAUCCGGCUACAGCAGGUGGGAAGAAACAUGAUGAUUGCAUGCACUGAUGCUUACCAGCAGAGGCGGAUCUAGGAUUUAAAUUUUAGGGGUUCAACAUCUUAAAUUUUAGCACUAAACCAUUAUAUUUCUAAACUUAUGGGUUGAUAUCUACUAUUUAUUGUAAUUUUAAUAAAUUUUUACACAUAAAUUUAUACUCCGCGUCGAAAGUUUGGGGUUCAAUUGAACCCCAAGUUACAGAGCUCCAUCCGCCUCUGCUUACCAGGACUUGCACAUACCGGGAAUGACUUGUUUGUAGCAUAUUUAAGCAAUAUCGAAGAUAGGACCUAAGUUAUGACGAUUUCAUUCUUUAUGUACAAUUUCUUUCUGUUAAUUUCUUACAAUUAUCUUUCUUGAAGGCAAUCUUGUUACAACGUUGUUUUCAUUUCUCAUCUAUAAUAUUUAGUUAGCGACUGAAUGUUAAAAUUCGCAGAAAACAACUGCUAGCCCUUCCAUCACCUGAAGGUAAA